rnacentral:rRNA from 1 species
GAUGAACGCUGGCGGCGUGCCUAACACAUGCAAGUCGAGCGAGAUUUCUAUAAUUGAUCCUUCGGGUGAUUUAUAGAAUGACAGCGGCGGACGGGUGAGUAACGCGUAGGCAACCUGCCCCAUACAUUGGGAUAGCCCCGGGAAACUGGGUGUAAUACCGAAUAACACUUUGAAGUGGCAUCGCUUUAAAGUCAAAACUCCGGUGGUAUGGGAUGGGCCUGCGUCUGAUUAGCUAGUUGGUAAGGUAAUGGCUUACCAAGGCAACGAUCAGUAGCCGACCUGAGAGGGUGAUCGGCCACACUGGAACUGAGACACGGUCCAGACUCCUACGGGAGGCAGCAAUGGGGAAUAUUGCACAAUGGGCGAAAGCCUGAUGCAGCAACGCCGCGUGAGUGAUGAAGGCUUUCGGGUCGUAAAACUCUGUCCUAAAGGAAGAAUAAUGACGGUACUUUAGGAGGAAGCCCCGGCUAACUACGUGCCAGCCGCCGCCGUAACAC